rnacentral:lncRNA from 1 species
AUGAUGUCAGCAGCUAAUCAAGUAGCUGCAUCCUCCCUGUGGCGGCAGUCUCCCCUGGGCGCUGCUGGUGGUGCGAGGCAUGGCGAGAUCCAUCCGGCUUGGCGAGAUCUGGCGCAUGAUCUGGUUCCUGGGUUGCAGAGGGCUGCGGGAAGCCUGCUGUGGGGCCCAUCUCCCUGCGCUGCCCCACAUUUGAAUCUCGAGUGGGUGCCCCCGCCUGUCCCCACGCCCCCACGUGCGGCUGAGCGCUGCAUCCUGGGGCUGUUCGUGCACUGGCUGCGUUAUCCCUUCACUUCGGCUUUCUCAGUUUCGCUCCUGCCGGCUGCGAGAGCCAGUGACGCACUCGAGCAGCGCUCACGCAGCACCCGAGAACAGGCAUCCUGUUUCCAAAACAGCCAGCGCAGCCCUGCUGCUUUCAGCAUCCAUGUUCCCAAGGGGAAACAGAGGGAGCUUGAGAGCCAGGAGCAAAAGGGGAGGAAAUGGGAGGGUGGGGAUUUUCUCUCUCUUUUUUUUUUUUUUUUCCCAAAGAGUAUCAAAAUGAGACAAUUUGGAGUGCAGCUAGGAAGGAAUAGUACAACGUGGCCCCCAAACCUGCGAAGAUUUGGGGCAGCACUGGGUCACUGGGGUGUCCCACGGAGCAGCCGGUGCUCAGGCUGCAGUGCACAGGUGCAGCGUGUGGUUGUGCAGCCUCCUGGUGGUUUCCUGGUGCUGCAAACCAGCCAAGGGAGGGGACCAGCCAGGAAGCCCAUCGCUGCUGCCAGGCGUCCCUCUGUCCCACGCAGGAUCCCCUCCCCUUUCCUGGAGAUGCCCAGGGAAACACAAAAUGCAGGGCUUGCUUUAUGGUUUUUGAGCUCAAUGUUCAGCCUUAAAAAUAAAUCAGUGCGAGGCAGAUGCCAGCUGGGGAAUGUUUCAUCAGGGCUGGGUGGGAUGGGUGUUGCAGUAGAAACUCUCACAUCCCUCGUGCAGGCAGCACUGGUGGCAGCAGCAGGCACAAACGCUGCCAGCUGGCGCAAGCCGCACGCCCUCCGUGUAUGGAAACUGCUGCACAUCUCGCAGGGCAGCGGCGCUCUCCAGCCCGACACGGUCCGUGUGGUUUAG